rnacentral:rRNA from 1 species
UACGUAGGGUGCAAGCGUUGUCCGGAAUUAUUGGGCGUAAAGAGCUCGUAGGCGGUUUGUCGCGUCUGCUGUGAAAACUCGGGGCUUAACCCCGGGCCUGCAGUGGGUACGGGCAGACUAGAGUGCGGUAGGGGAGACUGGAAUUCCUGGUGUAGCGGUGAAAUGCGCAGAUAUCAGGAGGAACACCGGUGGCGAAGGCGGGUCGCUGGGCCGGAACUGACGCUGAGGAGCGAAAGCGUGGGGAGCGAACAGG